GCAAAGUCUGCGCGAUCGGUUAGUGCUAUGGGCUAGGGCGGGGCUGGGGGCGGGGCUUGGCAGAACUGGACCAAUGGAGGUGAGGGCAAGCGCGGGCUGGAGGAAGUGGAUCUGGCGCGGGCUUUAAUAAAUCAAAAUUGCCCGCUGCGUUUGAGUUUUUAAGCCUUCUCACGGAUCUCAUUUUCGCAGCUCUCAGGAGGGCCUUCAAUGGUCAUUUCCAAUAUUCAUCUUUUUGAGAAGUGAAUUGCCAUGUUACUUCCAAUGAAUCACAAUGUCGGGACAAUAAUGAAGCUUAGUAGUUUUCAAACUUUUUUUUUAAACAACUUACUCUGUUAAAAGACAUUUUCUGGAAUUUCCAUAAUUGCAGCAGCUGUGGAGCCACACACUCCUCUCCAGCUUUGUCCCCCUCCCCCGAUCUGUGCACAACCCCUUGAAUGCUCAAAAACAAAGCUGGAAAACCAGUGAUCCAGUCCAGUUCCUUCAUGUGUACCGAGGGGGAUCUUGAAGCCCAGGGAGGAAAGGUAUCUACUCUGAGACCCUUUGACUUGUCUUGCAGGAGUCCGCUGUGGAAGGCACAUCACGUCCCACGGCCUGGCUCUGAACUGUUGUACAGACCUCGUGUGGUUUGAGCACAUCGUCCCCUGCGGGUUGGUUGGGACAGGCGUCACCUCUCUGAGUGAGGAACUCCAACGGCACGUCAGUGUGGAUGAAGUAAUACCACCUUUCCUUGAGGCCUUUAGGGAGACCUACAAAUGCACAUUUAUCUCAGAGGACAGCCCCAACUAAAGGAUGUUCAUGUUAUCACAGCUGGGAGGUUGUGCUUGAAAAGCACCAAGCCUGACUUGGAGUCACUGAAACCCAGAUUCUAGACCUGGCCCUGUCAUUCACUCACCAUGAGACUAUGAACAAAUUAUGAGCCCUUAGCAUUGUUUCCAUAUGUGUCCUGGUUUAUUUAUAUCUUCUCAUCUACCUCAGAUAUAGUAGAUUUGAAAACAUUUUGAAAAGCAACACAUGCUAUAUAAAUGUAAGACAUUAGCACUGGUAUU
rnacentral:lncRNA from 1 species